rnacentral:sRNA from 1 species
UCAAUAAGAUGAGAUAAUCAGUCUCUCUCAUUCUCAAAUUCUACAGAAAGCUUCUGCGACUCAGAUUGGGCUAGUUCCUUGGACGAUUGA